rnacentral:misc_RNA from 1 species
UCUCCGUAGGUGAACCUGCGGAGGGAUCAUUACUGAGUGAGGGCCUUCGGGCUCGACCUCCAACCCUUUGUGAACACAACUUGUUGCUUCGGGGGCGACCCUGCCGUUUCGACGGCGAGCGCCCCCGGAGGCCUUCAAACACUGCAUCUUUGCGUCGGAGUAAAAAGUUAAUUUAAUAAAACUUUCAACAACGGAUCUCUUGGUUCUGGCAUCGAUGAAGAACGCAGC